CCUACGGGUGGCAGCAGUCGAGAAUCAUUCACAAUGGGGGAAACCCUGAUGGUGCGACGCCGCGUGGGGGAAUGAAGGUCUUCGGAUUGUAAACCCCUGUCAUGUGGGAGCAAAUUAACAAGAUAGUACCACAAGAGGAAGAGACGGCUAACUCUGUGCCAGGAGCCGCGGUAAUACAGAGGUCGCAAGCGUUGUUCGGAUUCACUGGGCGUAAAGGGUGCGUAGGCUGUUACGUAAGUCGUGUGUGAAAGGCGCGGGCUCAACCCGCGAAAGGCACAUGAUACUGCGAGACUAGAGUAAUGGAGGGGGAAGCGGAAUUCUCGGUGUAGCAGUGAAAUGCGUAGAUAUCGAGAGGAACACUCGUGGCGAAGGCGGGUUCCUGGACAUUAACUGACGCUGAGGCACGAAGGCCAGGGGAGCGAAAGGGAUUAGAUACCCUUGUAGUC
rnacentral:rRNA from 1 species